rnacentral:ncRNA from 1 species
UCCAUUCGCCAGGGGUGCCGUACGGCUGAGAGGAACUUUCCGACUCUUUGGACCUGAACUGGAUAAUUCCAGCGUAGGGAGCGCGAGCGACGUCAGCC